ACGAACGCUGGCGGCGUGCCUAAUACAUGCAAGUCGAGCGGAAUGAUGAAGAAGCUUGCUUCUUCUGAUUUUAGCGGCGGACGGGUGAGUAACACGUGGGCAACCUACCUUGUAGAUUGGGAUAACUCCGGGAAACCGGGGCUAAUACCGAAUAAUCCAUUUUGCUUCAUGGCGAGAUGUUGAAAGACGGUUUCGGCUGUCACUAUAAGAUGGGCCCGCGGCGCAUUAGCUAGUUGGUAGGGUAAUGGCCUACCAAGGCGACGAUGCGUAGCCGACCUGAGAGGGUGAUCGGCCACACUGGGACUGAGACACGGCCCAGACUCCUACGGGAGGCAGCAGUAGGGAAUCUUCCACAAUGGACGAAAGUCUGAUGGAGCAACGCCGCGUGAGUGAAGAAGGUUUUCGGAUCGUAAAACUCUGUUGUAGGGGAAGAACACGUACGAGAGUAACUGCUCGUACCUUGACGGUACCUUAUUAGAAAGCCACGGCUAACUACGUG
rnacentral:rRNA from 1 species